GGAGGCCUAGCUCAGUUGUAGAGCAUUUGCCUCAUAUGCAGGAGGCCCUUGGUUCACUUCCGGGCACCA
rnacentral:tRNA from 1 species